rnacentral:snRNA from 1 species
GUGCCAGUACCAUGUUGUUUUAUGACUAUAGCUCUGCACAUAUACUAAAAUUGGAAUGAUACAGAGAAGACUAGCAUGGCCCCUGCGCAUAUAGGUUUUUAAAGUACUCCCUUAUAAUGUU